AUUGAACGCUGGCGGCAGGCUUAACACAUGCAAGUCGAACGAGUGGCGGACGGGUGCGUAAUGCUUGGGAAUCUGGAUUAUGGAGGGGGAUAAAUAAGGGAAAAUGUAGAUAAUACCGCGUACCAUACGAAUCGCCACAGUGGGAUUAGUGAGUUGGUGGGGUAAAGGCUCACCAAGCCGACGGUCUCUAGCGGGUCCAAGAGGAUGACCCGCCACACUGUGACUGAGACACGGCCCUGACUCCUACGGGAGGCAGCAGUGGGGAAUAUUGCGCAAGGGGGGCAACCUGACGCAGCCAUGCCGCGUGAAUGAAGAAGGCCUUCGGGUUGUAAAGUUCUUUCGGUAGCGAGGCGUUAACUACAGAAGAAGCACCGGCUAACUCCGUGCCAGCAGCCGCGGUAAUUC
rnacentral:rRNA from 1 species